GCCAGGGUGGCGGAGCGGUCUAACGCGGUUGCCUCGAAAGCAGCUGUGCAAAAGCACUCACAGGUUCGAAUCCUGUCCCUGGCG
rnacentral:tRNA from 1 species